GAGAAGGGGUUGCGUACUACUUGCGUUGCAGCAUUUUGUAGCGCCAGGAAAUCCAAAUCCACAAACUGACAGUGAUCGCGAAAGAGAAGAACGAUGAGAUUAAGAUGCAGCGUGGCUACGGCGUUCACGGUGGUUAUUUUCCUGAUUCUGGUCGGAGAAAAAGGGACCGGACCGCCACAAAUCGAAGCCUCUAAUUCCGUUUCCGCCUUCGUUCACAACGUCAUCUACUCCAACAGAAUCGCCUUCUUCUCCAAAUCCUAUUGCCCGUAUUGUUUACGCGCCAAACGCAUCUUUGCUGAACUCAAUGAGCAACCGUUUGUUGUUGAAUUGGAUCUCCGAGAUGAUGGGUAUGAAAUUCAGAGUGUUCUUCUAGAUUUACUAGGUAGAAGCACAGUGCCACAAGUAUUUGUCAAUGCCAAGCAUAUUGGUGGAUGUGAUGAUCUCAGAGCUGCAGUCCAGAGUGGUGAAUUGCAGAAACUUCUUAGUGCAAGUUGAUGGCAUAUUGGAGACUCGGGGAGGAGCACUAGCGUCUGCCAAUUUACCGGUUGGUGUAUCAUGCAUGAAAUCUGGGGUAGUUAAAUCGAAAAUUGAGAUACAUGUGUGAUGAAAAAAACAAUAGUGUGACGUGCUCCGGACAAAUGUUGUGCUAUAGAAGGAGGAUAGAAUGCCAUAUACAUGUCAGUGCCGCUGCACAACUAUAUCUGAAAAGGAGCCUUGAGUUACAGCACGAGUGUUGUGGCCAUUAUCAGGACAAAGCUGCAGAGUCAGGUCGCCAAGUGCCUCUCUUGGCACAGAGCAUGCCUUCUUGUUCUUUUGUGUAAGUUAUUUCCCAGUGUAGAGAUUUUAACAGAGCUUCCACUUCUUUGAUGGUGUUCGGUUCAUCACGCACAAUCAACGUACCUCCAGGUCUGAUUAUUCUAUCCACCUCUGCCAUAACAGGAAUAAGUUUACACCUGAGGAGCCAAAAUAACAGAUGGAGAUCAUUUUGGUGCAAUUUCUCUAGAAUAGGUGAAAAGGGUUGAAGGAUCACUACUUCCAUACAUACCUCUCUUUUAGCUUUGAAAAAAGAUUAUCUGCAUGCAGUAGAUCAUAAGUUCUUGGAUAUGUGCUGAAGGAUUCACACCAAUCAUGGUAUAUCCCAAAAAGACCCCUCUCAUAGAUGAUGGGAAGUGUAUCCGGAGCAUCUAUGUUCACAACAUUGAAUACCCAAACAGGAAGUUCCCUCAGAGCUGCUGCAAAUCUGCACGCAGAUGGCUAAGUAUUACAAAAACUAAGUAUUGCAUAUUAAGUUCUAAUCUAUGAUAGUUGUUCUCCAAGUUGAAGGCAAUACCCCCCAUAGACAGCUCGCAUGUCCAUGAUAUUUCUCACAUUAGACCAAGUUAUUCCAAUGUUACUCAACUCAUCCACAAUGUUUCUCCAACGUUCAGUGUCUGCUGUAAAAUCUUGAGGAGCUGGUUUUCCAUAGAUCCCAACCUCUGAGCUGUUUAACCAAUACGGGGCUUUCUUCACUCGACGAGGCCAAACUUCAGGCCACUUGGCCCCUCUCUCAGCCUGGUUUUCAGGCACUCUAUGCAUGCACGCUUGCAGAGGCAGCAUUUGAAUCGUCAUCAUCCUUGCACAUUGGAGGUUGGUUUUUCUCCCGGUUGUCGUAGCAUUCAUUGGAAGUGGGUUUGCGGUAAAUGGCAGCGCCAACAUGAUUCAGUUCAUCCUUGUUGAUAGUGACAAGCUCCCAACACAUUUUCUUUGUUAGUGAGGACAUUUCUAGUAGAAAUUACAAGAUGUCAGUGACUGUAGAAUUGUCCUUCUUGUAACAGCAAAGAUAUGAAGUUUAAUCCUACCUUUCCAUAUCUCGACAUCUUCUUCGAGCUUUUGGUACACGGGAGUAGCACACCAAACAAAAUAACCACCCGGUCUCAGAAGCCGAUUCAAUUCCAAAAGCAACAUGCCACCUAGAACAGAGUUUCACAAUUCUCAGCAACUAAAUAUGUUCAGCACAAAAUAAAGCCAUUGUUGAUUAUGGAUAUGAAAUCAAAUGACAAAUUCAAGCUCAAGAAAAGUGUUGGUGAGUGAAACCAACCAUCUACAUGCCAAGGUACUCUGCAACGUGCACAAUGUAUAAGAUCAAACACACGGCUAGGGAAUGGCAAUCUUGUAGAACCCAUGACAGCAGAUAUGGCAGGAAUGCCUCUCUCAAGGGCAAACUGUACUUGUGCUUCAUGUUCAUCUUUGGGUGCAAAAGACAUUGCAACAACAUCUCUUUCAAAUAGGUAUCCUCCAAAACUACCAACCCCACACCCAACAUCCAAGAUCACCCUGGUGUGCUUUCCCCAUGCAAUUCCAGCCUCAGCCUGCAAUGCAUGAAUGAUAUUAUAAAAUAUUGCUUGCUAGUGAUAACUUAUUCCGAUGAAUAACUUUGGGUGGGUUCGGCUUCCGUCACCACCACUGGUCAAAGGAUGCUUACAGGACCAUAAGUCGCUUAUAGUGACCCACUGACACAACCCUCACAUCGGCUGCGAGAGUCGAACGCAAUUUCCUCCCAGGAAAUGCCUCAUCCUUACCGAUUGAGCCAACAUGUGUUCGGCAUGCUAACUAAGUAGUAAGUAUUAACUAAGACAAAAUUUAGAAAAUGCUGUUAUGAUUACCUUUUGAAGAAAAUCAAUGUAGUGUAGAGCUCCAUGAAUGAACUGGGUGCCACCACCAGGGAAUGUUAAGAAUUCACCUGUCACCUUCACCCAAUUCUGGUGUCCCUUCACCUCUGCUAGCAUGGAGUGAGGUACAUUGUGAUACCAUAUCUGUUUUGAAAUACAAUAAAGAAAGUUUUAAUUUUGAAGA